rnacentral:rRNA from 1 species
UAAACGCUGGCGGCGUGCUUAACACAUGCAAGUCGAACGAAGUUUUUCCUUCGGGAGAAACUUAGUGGCGGACGGGUGAGUAACGCGUGGGUAACCUGCCCUGUACAGGGGGACAACAGCUGGAAACGGCUGCUAAUACCGCAUAAGCCCUUAGCACUGCAUGGUGCAUAGGGAAAAGGAGCAAUCCGGUACAGGAUGGACCCGCGUCUGAUUAGCCAGUUGGCAGGGUAACGGCCUACCAAAGCGACGAUCAGUAGCCGAUCUGAGAGGAUGUACGGCCAGAGUGGGAAUGAGACACGCCCAGACCACCGGGGGGAGGCAGGGGUGGGAAAUAUUAAACAAUGGAGAAAACUUGGAGGCAGCGACGCGGCGUGAGAAAAGAAUUUUUUGGUAAUGAAAACCUAAAUCGGAAGGGAAGAAAAGAAGGUUCCCUAAUAAAAAGCCCCGGAGAAAAUCCGCC